rnacentral:rRNA from 1 species
GUGCAGCAGGCGAGAAUAGUCUACAAUGGACGAAAGUCUGAUAGUGCGACGCCGUGUGUGCGAUUAAUUCCUUCGGGAUGUAAAGCACUUUUCUAUGAGAUAAAAGCUCUUUAGGUUAAUAGCUUAUUGAGACGGAUAUUAUUAUAGGAAUAAGCUCCGGCUAACUCCGUGCCAGCAGCCGCGGUAAUACGGAAGGAGCGAGCGUUGUCCGGAUUUACUAGGCGUAAAGGGCUAGUAGGCGACUAAUUAAGGUUAUAUGUUAAAUCCCCACGGCUCAACUGUGGUCCUGCAUGUAAUACUGGUUAGAUAGAGUACUGUAGAGGAAGGCAGAAUUCCUGGAGUAGCGGUGGAAUGCGCAGAUAUCAGGAAGAAUACCAAAAGCGAAGGCAGCCUUCUGGGCAGUUACUGACGCUUGAAUAGCGAAGGUGU